UUCUGUAGACAAUUUAGAACAAACAAUCAGUAAGUUAAGUUUGAAUUGUUUUAGUUACUAUAUCAUUUAAAGUAUUUGUAUGCUGUGUUAGUAUUCCUUGUUGAAUAAAUGUUUUGAUUUAAAAAAAUUUUUUAAAAGAUUUAAGUUUAAGAAAAAAUUAUUAAUUCAUGCAAGCGCUUGUCCAAUGACCAACUAUUUGAUUUAGAAGAUGUCAUGUCAGAUAGAAUUGUUCGGAAGAAACUAGAACAUGAAUGGUACGAUCCAAAAACAUGCAAAAGUGUUUUAUAUAGCGAAAGAGUAGAAAAAGUUAAUAAAAGAAAAAAAAACUUUAUUUACACCAUUUCUUACUAAAAAGAUGAUGAAUCUGAUAUUGGAGCUGUUGACUAUUGCAUGAAAAAGAUCCAGCUUGCUGCUGAUAUUGUUUCCAGAAAUUUGUUUAUUAACCGAAGAAAAUGGCUAGCUCGUUAACCAUACUGUAUGGUUCUGUUAAUGUGAGAAUCACAUGAAAGACAAUAAUAUAGGAUGGGUGGGGGCAUACGCCCUCCCGUAAUAGAAACACCAGUUGUAGACGUAAGAUCAUGUAUAACAUAAUUUUAUAUUGUAUACUAAUUUUACACAUUUCAGUAAAGAU